UGGGGAAUAUUGCACAAUGGGCGAAAGCCUGAUGCAGCGACGCCGCGUGAGGGAUGGAGGCCUUCGGGUUGUAAACCUCUUUCAGUAAGGGUGAAGGCUCUCUUUUGUGGAGGGUUGACAGUACUUGCAGAAGAAGCGCCGGCUAACUACGUGCCAGCAGCCGCGGUAAUACGUAGGGCGCGAGCGUUGUCCGGAAUUAUUGGGCGUAAAGGGCUUGUAGGUGGCGUGUCGCGUCUGCUGUGAAAUCCUAGGGCUUAACCCUGGACGUGCAGGCGAUACGGGCUGACUUGAGUACUACAGGGGAGACUGGAAUUUCUGGUGUAGCGGUGGAAUGCACAGAUAUCAGGAAGAACACCGAUGGCGAAGGCAGGUCUCUGGGUAGUAACUGACGCUGAGGAGCGAAAGCAUGGGUAGCGAACAGG
rnacentral:rRNA from 1 species